rnacentral:lncRNA from 1 species
UAUAAAAAAUAAUGGUCCGAUUUGUGCUUCAGUUGAAGACGUUGGUUUCAGAUCGAGCAGAAAUCCAACUUCUCAAUCCUGUUGCAAGCCUCAUUCAUUCGUCAAAACAGGGUUUUUUGAGACACAUCAGUCAUGCAGGGCGUAGGUGUAAUUCUGUUGAUCUGUCUGGCCACUGCCGUUGCUCCUGGCCACGCCUGUUCUCCUCCCGCCUUUUGGAGGCCUGAGAGUUUCCAGGAUAGGCUUCAACAAGCAACGGUUGUAUUCAGGGGUAAGGUGACCAGCACAAACGCACCCAGAUCAGGCGGCCGCGGUAUCUACUCAGCUACCUUUGAAGUCGAGUGCUUCUAUAAUGGCUUGAUCGACACCGGGCCAAAAAGUGUCACCAUAGGAGGCUUCGGCUGGGACUACGGCUUGUGUAGCAAUACUCAGGUCCAUGUAGGAAAGGAUUACGUCAUCUUUGCUGAUACCUACGGUUCUGGUACUUUGCAGCUGGCUGACAUCAACGUACAGAGUGGGGCGACAGAGGCUACAUCCGAUGUGAUUGCACAGGUGGAGCAAAGCCUCUCCUGUGUGCAACCCACCGACUAGGUUCAACAAUUGUGACUCGGAAACGCCUCUUGAUCUUUGGCAUUAAUAUGGCAAUUUUAUCAGUUUGUUAACUUUAACUUUGAAUCAUGAAGGCAUGCAUGUAGUAGUUUUAUCACGACGGUAUAAUAAGCUCUAAAAUGAGUUUUGUAAUUGGUAACUUGGUUAUUUACGUGUAUACGUACCCCCUCCCCAGGAGCUUUUGAUUUAAAGUAGUCAUCAUUUGGCCACUACAAUGCAUAUAAACACACCUAGAAAUGUCCAUAAGAUAAUGGUUUACGGUAGCACUAUAUGUGACAAAUCACUUUUGUGAGUUUGUGAGUUUCUGAGAAGAACCGGGGGAAACUCAACGUUUCGGAGAGUAUACUCUUCUCGUCGUAGAAAUAUCUACCAACAAUUUGAACAUAAUGGUUGUGGCGUAUGAUAUUCAUCCAUCUAAGCAAGUAGCCUAUGUCAUAAUUAUCAAUGAUGUUUGAGAUGCAUCAUCAACAACAGCCGUUUUGUGAACAACUGAAUUACAAUGAGAUAUUUAAGGCUAAAUAUACACGCACCUGUCUUAGUGCAUUAGUUAUGACGUACUUUUAUUAACUGGGUCAACUUUACUGAAUUUGGUGGUGGAAAUGUCUCUUUUCAAAUGGUAUGGUGAAAGGUGUCAAUGCCGUGUUAUAGUGUUAUGUGAAUAUCAGCGUAAAAACCUUUUCAAAUCUUCCCUGAUCAAACGUUUGAAACAAACUUAAUUCUAAACUGAAUAUUAGUGGUGGAGGCUAAUUCGAGUCACCUCUCUAAAUCACUUUUUCUUUGGUGCACGAUGAAUCGCUAUUAAAACAAACCGGUAAGAUAUGAAUAAGCUGAAA